rfam:Sorghum bicolor cultivar BTx623 chromosome 9, whole genome shotgun sequence.
AUUCCAUGAUGAGGACAUUCCCGAAUGUACUCCUAGAGAAGUUUCCAUGCUUUGAGAAUGGUCUCUUCUGCUUUUUGACGGAAGCUGGAAAUUCUUGCCCGCAGAGC